GACAGAGGGUGCAAACGUUGUUCGGAAUUACUGGGCGUAAAGCGCGUGUAGGCUGCUCAGAAAGUCGGAUGUGAAAGCCCUGGGCUUAACCUGGGAAGUGCAUUCGAAACUUCUGAGCUGGAGUCCUGGAGAGGAAGGCGGAAUUCUCGGUGUAGAGGUGAAAUUCGUAGAUAUCGAGAGGAACACCGGUGGCGAAGGCGGCCUUCUGGACCGAUAUUGACGCUGAGGAGCGAAAGCCAGGGGAGCAAACGGG
rnacentral:rRNA from 1 species